GGCUCAGUGGCUCAGUUGGUUAGAGCGCCGCCCUGUCACGGCGGAGGUCGUGGGUUCGAGUCCCAUCUGAGUCG
rnacentral:tRNA from 3 species